UAGGUGAUCUCAAUUCAACAUCGAGGUGAUAAACCUUGUCUUCGAUAAGGACUCUUUGACAAGAUUAUCCUGUUAUCCCUAAAGUAGCUUUUAUUUUUUGAUCGUUAGAUUAUUUUUAGACAUUUUAACGGGUCAUUAUAACCUACUUUGUAACUGUUAAAUAUAUAGAUUAAACAGUAAAUUUUUUAUUAAUGUAGUUAAUCUCUGUUUUUUUUUAGAGACCAUCUCCCCAAUGAAACUACCAUCCCUUUUAUUUUUUAUUAUUUUUUUUUAGAUUAAAAGAGUUAUAGUUAAGCUUUAUAGGGUCUUUUCGUCUUACAGUUUUAAAUAGAAUCUUAACUAUUAUUUUAAUUUUUUUAUUAUUUUAUAAGACAGUGAGAUUUUCGUUUAGCCAUUCAUACUAUCCACUAAUUAAGUGGCGAGCAAUUACGCUACAUUCAUACAGUCAUAGUUACUGCAGCCAUUCAACUUUUUUUUAUUUAACUUAUUUGUUUAAAUCUAAUUAGAGUCAUUGGGC
rnacentral:rRNA from 1 species